rnacentral:lncRNA from 1 species
GUCUGAGGCUCCCGAGGGAGCUUGAGGGAGCUCAGGGGUGCCUGGUGAGCGGGGGUCUCCUGGAUGCUCCUCUUCCAAGCUCAGAGGCUGACCUGGCAAGUGGCAGCACCCCACCUCCCCAUUUGAAGCCCACAAGGAGGAAGAAAAGAAACUUCUUGACUCACCCAUCACGGAGACCCACGGCCAUCCCGAGAGGUGUGGCCACGUGAGCAACAACGCUCCACGCUGGGUGUGGGCGAGGGUCUUCCAGGGACCCUAAGCCUUCUUAAAGAACAACUUGGAGAUGUACUUCAUGCAGCGUUCAGUUCCCCGUUGCGGGUGCACAGUCGGGCGGCCGUGCACUGCAGCACAGCUCAUUGUAGAGCAUCUCAGCGCCCCAGAGAGCAAGUCCCGACGCAGGGCCCCCUUUACCUGGAGGUGACUCCGGGGAGGGGCCUGUGGACUCGCAGGGUGGUGAGGCGAGUGUGUGCAUGUACAGCUUCCUCCCGCAGCCAAACGGUCUAGAACAAACAUGCUGUGUCCUCGCUGACUUCAGAGCUUCAGUAGCAACCCACGCCACAGCUUCACAGUUGACAGUUGUCACAGGCUCUGCUCGGAGGUGACGUUCUGGGGACUGAGCAGCAGCUCUGGAGUUACAGACUUAGAGGGGCCGUCUCCGGGCCCCCCUGCUUUUUCCUCCUCGCCUCGGUACCAGUAGAUGGAGACGCCAGUUGCAGUCCUGCCAGCCCACAGUGGCUCACGUUCCAAAGGCUCUUCCCUGCAGGCUCUCAGCCAGCCUGGGUCACUAGAGGUGCCCAUUUUCCUGCCUGGCAUGGCUGAGCAGAGCCAAGAAACAGCCUUGAACCCCAAGACCUCUCCCUCAGCCAGAAUGUUCUCUGCGUGAGCUUCUCAUGCUCAAAUAUGACCGUGACCUGUAACAUCUCCCGCCCGGAAGUUCCCCCAGAGGGCACAAGACCCCACGCGGUGAUGUUGAGGCCUGGACGGUGGUGGUG